UUUCUGGGCUCUUGGGUGUACUUGCCCGUGUGGUUGGUUAACAUCAAUUUUGGUGGUCAUAAAAUGACUGGAGGAAUGUAGCUUCGAUCUCGUAUUGAAGUGUUAUAGCCUUCGGUAGAUGUGAUGAUCGAGAUUGAGGAUUGCAACGGAUACCCUUCGGGGCUACCUGUCUGGUCUCUGAUCGUUGCUCUGGUGCCGAAAGCUUGCUUACGGUUAUCAAAGUCGAUGGUCAAUAGGUUAGAACGGGUUAAAUUCGUUAAGGAUGUUUGACGUAA
rnacentral:rRNA from 1 species